rnacentral:lncRNA from 1 species
UACGUGAGAUACUGCUCAGCAUUGAGCUGCAAUGUUUUGAAAAUGUGGAGGGAAAUWAAUGAAGUAACAUUAUAUUUCUUGAUGCUGAUCUCCAAGAACUGGACAGGUGGAAAGAAAUACACAGGACCAUGUGGAGGCAGAGACUGCAGUGGAGGAUGUCAGUGUUUCCCUGAAAAAGGAAGCCGUGGCCAGCCAGGACUCCUUGGAGCACAGGGAUUCACUGGACCACCAGGAUUGAUGGGGAUACCAGGAGUGCAAGGUCCCAAAGGUCACAAAGGUGAAAGAGGACACCCAGGAAUAACUGGACCGAAAGGAGAAGUGGGACAAAGAGGAGUCACUGGAUUCCCCGGGGCAGAUGGCAUUCCUGGUCAUCCAGGCCAGCCAGGACCAAGGGGGAAACCAGGUCAUGAUGGCUGUAAUGGGACAGCAGGUGACCCUGGUGACUCGGGAACUCCUGGAUUCUCUGGUUUCCCUGGUAGCAUUGUAAAAAUUGUUUUGAACUUCUUCCCUGGUUUUGUUUCAGGGGAUGGGGAUAAGCCUGGCUUACCUGGAGAAAUGGGACCAAAAGGUGAAAAGGGUGAAAUAGGAUCUCCUGCUUAUUUUGCGGGACCCCCUGGGCUUCCGGGUAAGGAUGGCUCGCCAGGACUUCGCGGUCCGCCUGGUCCCGUUGGAGCCCCUGGUAAGUGCAUAAAAACGAGAGGUAGAGUGAGAAUUCUUAUCACCUGUAUUUUCCUAUUAUUUAUAGUACUAAUGAAAGAUUGGUCUCACAAUGGAAGUUCUUCUUUAGGCACCAAAGGAAUCCGAGGAGAUCCCGGGCUGCCUGGAAUCAGAGGUGAAGAUGGUUUCCCAGGCAGAGAUGGAUUAGAUGGUUUACCAGGUCAGCCUGGCCUUCCGGGUGAUGCUAUCAGAGGUUUCCCUGGUGAUCCUGGUUAUCCAGGUGAAUUAGGCCCAAAGGGCUUUCCAGGAGAAGCAGGCCUGCCAGGUGAAGGAUUUCCUGGUCCAAAAGGGUUCCGRGGUCCUCCAGGUGAUCAAGGACAAGCUGGAAUCCCAGGAUCUCCAGGUCUGCCUGGUCUGCCAGGAGAGCCUGGCCAACUAGGUAAGAGACACCACUCUGUCUUACAUCAGAGCCAUGGGAGAUCAGCACUGAGUUGUGUGCAGCAUUUAUGUAGCACACUGUUAAAGAGGAACAGCUUGGUGGGGGUUAUGUGGGGUGCAAAAGGUGCAAGAGGAUUCCCAGGUGAUCCAGGUCCAAUGGGUUACCCAGGGCUAAAUGGUACACGAGGCGAUCCAGGUCGGGAAGGAUUCCCAGGUCCUCCAGGUUUUACUGGACCCAGGGGAGACAGAGGCCCAAAUGGUCUACCUGGACUGCAGGGACACCCAGGCCUUACAGGAAAAUCCGGAGCUCCCGGAGCACCAGGACCGAAGGGCCUUCCUGGUGACGUGUUUGGAGCAGCAGCAGGUUCCCGAGGCGAUGUCGGCCUCCCCGGCUUCCCAGGGCAGAAAGGUGCACCAGGAGAUCAAGGAGUUCCAGGAACUAGAGGAUUGGAUGGUGGCCCAGGUUUGCCAGGACCCAAAGGAGAUCCAGGACCACAAGGUCUCCCUGGUUUGAUGGGAUUACCAGGAACGCCAGGAACACAUGGAUUCCCAGGUCCACCAGGAAACCGUGGGCCAGAUGGUGGGCCUGGCUCUCAAGGACCUCUCGGUCCACCUGGUGCUAGGGGAGAAGAUGGUGAGCAAGGUUUUCCUGGCCCCGUGGGCCUGAAGGGUCUGUCUGGUGACAAAGGUGACAUGGGUCACACGGGAUUACCGGGUAUACGUGGUGUGACUGGUCCYCCUGGCAUAAGAGGAAUGGAUGGCUUUCCAGGAGACAAAGGCUUAAAAGGUUCACCCGGCGUUGAUGGUUUCAAAGGCAUGACAGGCCUGAAAGGAAGACCAGGCAUGAAGGGAAUCAAAGGAGAAUUUGGCCCACUUGGGGCUCGGGGAGAUAAAGGCUCACAGGGUGCACGUGGCUUCAAAGGUGACCGUGGGGAUCAAGGCCCCCCAGGAGAACCUCCAAAGCUCAUGCCCAGCAUGAUGAUGGAAGUUAAAGGUGAAAAAGGAGAUGUUGGAGAAAGGGGCACAAAGGGAUUCUUUGGCUUAAAAGGUAGCAAGGGAAUGCCAGGCCUUCCUGGAAAGACAGGAACCCCAGGGUCCCCUGGGCAUCCCAGCUACGUGGCUGGUGUAAAAGGAGACAUCGGUGCAAAAGGGCUGACAGGUGUGAAAGGGUAUCCUGGUCCUGCUGGCUCUCCUGGCAUCAGAGGCUUCCCUGGCACCACAGGAAUCAGAGUGAGUCCAUUUCAUGUUAUGCUUGUUUUCUUAGGGUUGUAUAGAUAUUAUAAAAGAUUGUACUGUUUUUUUGGUUUUCCAGGCAUAAGAGGAGGCGUGGGACCAAAAGGAGAAGGUGGUGAUCCUGGUUUCCCUGGUAUUGAAGGCCUCAAGGGCACGCAGGGUGUCCCUGGCUCUUUGGGACAGGAAGGUUUGCCAGGACUGGUUGGCCCCCCAGGGCAGCAAGGAAGCCCUGGGACGCCUGGAUUUCCAGGUGAAAAGGGAACUCCCGGCUGGCCUGGCUUACCAGGACAAGCAGGUAUUUGUACAGCUUCAGCUAUUCAAUCAUCUCUUUGUGUGCACUUGCAAAUGUUCCUUUGGUGUCAAGAAGAAGAAGAAAGGAGGUUUUUGCAGGUCAGAGUGGCAGUUUCCUCUACUAAAAUAUUUAUUCCUCACAAAGGGCAGCCGGGAAUACCUGCUCCACCAGGGAGCAAAGGAGAAAGUGGACAAAUAGGUAGGGCUGGAGAAAUUGGCCCAAAAGGAACUAGAGGUGACCCUGGAUCAUCAGGAACACCUGGUCUCCCUGGAUUCCCUGGACCAAAAGGUCCUAAGGGUGAACAAGGUGUCAUUGGCUUUAUGGGCACAGUAGGAUUUCCAGGUAAUCUGGGACCUAUCGGACAAAAGGGAGACAGAGGAGUAACUGGUAAGUGUGUGUUCUCAGAUGUGACUCCCUUUGAAACCACUCAUUCUGCAGCUCCACAGAGUUUCAGAGGCUCACCUGGAGAGCCAGGACUCCAGGGCAGGGGUGGCAUUCCAGCUCCUCCUGGCUCCAGAGGGGAACAAGGAGGAAUGGGAUUUCAGGGUCCGGUGGGAUUCGAAGGCCAGCCGGGGCGCCCCGGCAGCCCUGGCCCCCCAGGCAUGCCGGGCCGCAGUGUCAGCAUGGGAUACCUGCUGGUGAAGCACAGCCAGUCCGACCAGGAGCCCAUGUGCCCAGUUGGCAUGAACAAACUCUGGAGUGGAUACAGUCUGCUGUAUUUUGAAGGACAAGAGAAAGCACACAACCAGGAUCUAGGGCUGGCUGGCUCAUGUUUGUCUCGUUUUAGCACCAUGCCAUUCCUCUACUGUAACCCUGGGGAUAUUUGUUAUUAUGCAAGUCGAAAUGAUAAAUCCUACUGGCUCUCAACUACAGCACCUCUUCCAAUGAUGCCCGUGGCAGAAGAAGACAUUAAGCCAUAUAUCAGUCGCUGCUCAGUUUGUGAGGCCCCAGCUGUGGCAAUUGCUGUCCACAGCCAAGAAGCUUCUAUUCCUCACUGCCCUGAAGGCUGGCGCAGUUUGUGGAUUGGAUACUCCUUCCUUAUGCACACUGCUGCUGGUGAUGAAGGUGGAGGACAGUCGCUGGUUUCUCCUGGGAGCUGCCUGGAGGAUUUCAGGGCGACUCCUUUCAUUGAAUGCAAUGGUGCCCGCGGAACCUGUCACUACUUUGCAAAUAAAUACAGCUUCUGGCUCACCACCAUCGACCAACCCUUCCAAAGCAAACCCUCGGGAGACACACUCAAGGCAGGACUCAUCCGAAGCCAUAUCAGCAGAUGUCAAGUCUGUAUGAAAAACCUAUAGAAGUCUCUCACAGUAUAAGGAACCGUCUUAUCACGUAGUUCUUAUACACAGGAGCCUUCUGUGGUGGUUAGACAACUGAAUAAAUCAUGUUGGUGCUUUUUUUAACUUAUUACC